rnacentral:rRNA from 1 species
GAUGAACGCUGGCGGCGUGCCUAAUACAUGCAAGUCGAACGCUGAAGGAGGAGCUUGCUCUUCUGGAUGAGUUGCGAACGGGUGAGUAACGCGUAGGUAACCUGCCUGGUAGCGGGGGAUAACUAUUGGAAACGAUAGCUAAUACCGCAUGACAACAGUUAUUGCAUGAUAACUGUUUAAAAGGGGCAACUGCUCCACUACCAGAUGGACCUGCGUUGUAUUAGCUAGUUGGUGAGGUAACGGCUCACCAAGGCGACGAUACAUAGCCGACCUGAGAGGGUGAUCGGCCACACUGGGACUGAGACACGGCCCAGACUCCUACGGGAGGCAGCAGUAGGGAAUCUUCGGCAAUGGACGGAAGUCUGACCGGGCAACGCCGCGUGAGUGAAGAAGGUUUUCGGAUCGUAAAGCUCUGUUGUAAGAGAAGAACGAGCGUGAGAGUGGAAAGUUCACACUGUGACGGUAUCUUACCAGAAAGAGACGGCUAACUACGUG